rnacentral:rRNA from 1 species
UCAAGGUUAAGCCAUGCAUGUCUCAAUAAGUAUUUUUCCCGCGAAGCUGCGAAUGGCUCAUUAAAACAGUUAUAGUUUAUGCGGUUGUGACUCUUUAUAUGAAUAACUAUACCAAUUGUAGAGCUAAUGCAUGCAUAAUAGUCCCCACUAUAUUAUGAAGGGGCGUUUUUAUUAGGUACAGAGCCAUCACUAACUUUACCGUUAGAAAAUGUAGAUGAUUCAUAAUGACUGUACGGAUCGCCAUCACUGGCGACAAUCUGUUCACGUUUCUGACCUAUCAGCUUUCGACGGUAGGGUAUUGUCCUAUCGUGGCGUUGACGGGUAACGGAGAAUUAGGGUUCGAUUCCGGAGAGGGAGCCUGAGAAACGGCUACCACAUCUAAGGAAGGCAGCAGGCGCGUAAAUUACCCAAUCCUGACGCAGGGAGGUAGUGACAAGAAAUAACAAUACAGCGCAACAAUGCGUUGUCUUUGGAAUGAGUAUAAUUUAAAAGGCUAUGCGAUUCAU